UAUGUGAUCGUCUCUCGCAUAUCAAUAAGCGGAGGAAAAGAAACUAACAAGGAUUCCCCUAGUAACGGCGAGUGAAGCGGGAAGAGCUCAAAUUUGAAAUCUUAAAGGGUUUCCCUUUACGAAUUGUAGUUUAAAGAAGUGUUUUCUGUUGAGGUUUUGGUAAAAGUUCUUUGGAAUAGGACAUCAUAGAGGGUGAGAAUCCCGUAUUUGACCUUUACUUUCAACUUUGUGAUACACUUUCAAAGAGUCGGAUUGUUUGGGAAUGCAGUCCAAAAUGGGUGGUAAAUUUCAUCUAAAGCUAAAUAUUGGCGAGAGACCGAUAGCGAACAAGUACCGUGAGGGAAAGAUGAAAAGAACUUUGGAAAGAGAGUUAAACAGUACGUGAAAUUGUCAAAAGGGAAGCGUUUGACACCAGUGUUGUUUUUCUGAAAAUCAAUUAAAGAACUGUUUAUGCUAAGUUGUUUAGACUUUAUCAGCUAACUGUUUAGUUUUGAGCUUUUCUUUAAUGCACUUUUCAGUUAACAAGUCAACAUCAAUUUCUUUUGCUGUAAAAAAGCUUGAGGAAGGUGGCUUGAGAUUCGUCUUAAGUGUUUAUAGCCUCUUGCCUAUGCAGUCGGAGAGAUUGAGGUCUGCAGCGUAGAUCCUUCGGGGCUAAAUGCAUUUGUGCUAAGUUAUAGCAUUUUAUAGACAACUUGUUGACUAUGAUUUGUCAUGUAGCUUACUCGCUUAUGUUAUUUUACCUACGCUUAGGAUGUUGACUGAUAUGUAGUCGUA
rnacentral:rRNA from 1 species